rnacentral:rRNA from 1 species
GAACGCUGGCGGUAGGCCUAACACCUGCAAGUCGAACGGCAGCACAGUAAGAGCUUGCUCUUACGGGUGGCGAGUGGCGGACGGGUGAGGAAUACAUCGGAAUCUACUUUUUCGUGGGGGAUAACGUAGGGAAACUUACGCUAAUACCGCAUACGACCUACGGGUGAAAGCAGGGGAUCUUCGGACCUUGCGCGAUUGAAUGAGCCGAUGUCGGAUUAGCUAGUUGGCGGGGUAAAGGCCCACCAAGGCGACGAUCCGUAGCUGGUCUGAGAGGAUGAUCAGCCACACUGGAACUGAGACACGGUCCAGACUCCUACGGGAGGCAGCAGUGGGGAAUAUUGGACAAUGGGCGCAAGCCUGAUCCAGCCAUACCGCGUGGGUGAAGAAGACCUUCGGGUUGUAAAGCCCUUUUGUUGGGAAAGAAAAGCAGCAGGUUAAUACCCCGCUGUUCUGACGGUACCCAAAGAAUAAGCACCGGCUAACUUCGUG